CACGAUCUCCGCUCACUGCAACCACUGCCUCCCGGGUUCUCGCCGUUCUCCUGCCUCAGCCUCUGAAGUAGCUGGGAUUACAGGCGCCCGCCACCACGCCCAGUUAAUUUUUUUGUAUUUUUAGUAGAGACGGGGUUUCACCGUGUUAGCCAGGAUGGUCUUGAUCUCCUGACCUCGUGAUCCGCAAAAUGGGAUCAAUCUUUUUCUAAAAUUAUCUUUUAGUUAUAAAAGGAAGACUUGCAAGGAGCGCUGCUGCUAUGAUUCCAUGUUAGACCUUCAUGCAGAACUCUGUAACCUAGCUCUUUAUGGGAAUAUUAAGAAGCCACAUGUGGUUGGUGUAGGUUGCUGUCUUUAAAUCCAGUGACCCGGAGGAGCCAAGAUGGCCGAAUAGGAACAGCUCCGGUCUACAGCUCCCAGCGUGAGCGACGCAGAAGACGGGUGAUUUCUGCAUUUCCAUCUGAGGUACCGGGUUCAUCUCACUAGGGAGUGCCAGACAGUGGGCGCAGGCCAGUGUGUGUGCGCACCGUGCGCGAGCCGAAGCAGGGCGAGGCAUUGCCUCACCUGGGAAGCGCAAGGGGUCAGGGAGUUCCCUUUCCGAGUCAAAGAAAGGGGUGACGGAUGCACCUGG
rnacentral:lncRNA from 10 species